GUUGUAAAAUAUAUUGUUCAUUGUUAGUUCAUAUUAGCUAAGGCAUUACCAAAUGUUAAGGAAUAAACUCUUAUAGUAAAGUGUUACUAAAUUUUCUUUUACCAUUUCCUUCACAAUGUCUAUUUAUUUCUAUGGCUAACAGAUUUUGUAACAUUUGUCUUUUUUACAGUCUUACCAUUGCUUGUAAGCUGGAUUGGGUAAGAUGGAUCAUCUUUAAAGGCACCAGGCAAGUACAUGAUGUACAGUUACAAGUCAUGUAUUUUUUCGACUGCAAUAUUAAAUGCUUUCACGUCACAUGCAAAAUUACACAGGAAUGUGGCUGACUUUUUAUUUGUAGUUUACAUGAGUGUCCUUGCACUUUUAUAGGAGUUAAGGCAGAUGUGGAGGCACAACGGGUGAUACCAGACACACACCAAGCACAUUAUGUUUGGACAUUCAAUCAUGACAGGAUCCAGGUGGAUGCUGUCCAUUGAGGAAAGAGUUUGUUCCGAGGUUUCUGGAUAGAAUUAAUUCCAAAGAUGGGAAAAAGUGCACAUCCAGACAAGGAGCAAGCAAAAAGACAAGGAACUUGGUGCAGAGAAAAGCUGUGGCCAUUAACCCCUGUGAACAGCUUCAUGCAGUCGCUGAUUGAGUUCGAAUGGACGACUUCAAAGUAAAGGCCACUGUGGUCUGUCUGCCACAGUUUAAUUUUUAAUUUAUUUUUAGUGUUCAAUGAAAUUCAAGUAGAAUAUUUAAAACUAUGGGCCAGUGUUAUUUUUACCACAGUGAAAUGUUACCUUUUAGUCGAUGAUGGACUUUAAACUGAAAACUUCAAACUAUGGACCAGUGUUCUAUUUGCCAGAGUUAAAUAUGUUACAGCAGGGGUCUCCAAACUUGUUUAUACUUGUUGAUUUUAUUUUAUGUUACUUGAUUAUAUGUUUAUUAUUGUUUAAAAUCUUGUUUUAAAUAUGUUUGUUUCAAUUAAAUGUUUUUUUAAAUAAAAUUUUGAUACAUACAUUG